GAAGUGGGGUAGGCCCCGCAAGGGGUACAACUGGUACAGGUGCUGCAUGGCUGUCGUCAGCUCGUGUCGUGAGAUGCCGGGUUAAGUCCCUUAACGAGCGAAACCUUUGCCCUUAGUUACCAGCGGGUUAUGCCGGGGACUCUAAGGGGACUGCCGGUGUCAAACCGGAGGAAGGUGGAGAUGACGUCAAGUCCUCAUGGCCUUUAUGUCCAGGGCUACACACGUGCUACAAUGGCCGGUACAAACCGACGCAAGAGCGCAAGCUGGAGCAAAUCGGAAAAAGCCGGUCUCAGUUCGGAUUGGGGUCUGCAACUCGACCCCAUGAAGCUGGAAUCGCUAGUAAUCGCGGAUCAGCACGCCGCGGUGAAUACGUUCCCGGGCCUUGUACACACCGCCCGUCACAUCACGAAAGUCGGCUGUACCAGAAGCCGGUGGGUCAACCCGCAAGGGAGAUAGCCGUCUAAGGUAUGGUCGGUAAUUGGGGUGAAGUCGUAACAAGGUAGCCGUAA
rnacentral:rRNA from 1 species